GCUUGUUUACGGCCUGACUGCGCAGGCGUGCUCACCUGGCGCGCUCCACGCUGCGGGGCGUCCGCAGGCUCCUCCUCUGGGCGCGGCCUGGGGCGGCCCCGCCGCGGUGCAGGUGAGGCCAGGCUCCGCCCGGGGGCGGGCUAGUCGUGUGGCUGUGUCCGCCGCCCGGCAAGGGCCGAGUUGGUAGGUAGAAGCCGCGGUCGGGAACGCUGAGGUGAACUCGGAGUGAGUGGCCUCCUCAGCUGCCUGCGGCCCUGCUCUGAGGGGCCCCGGCACCCAGAAGAGCAAAGAAAGAGAGCCGCCUCGGCAGCUGCCCCCUAGGGAGUCAGCACGUGGGGUACCGAGAGCGGAGGGCGGAGCCCCGGUGUUCUCCCUUCGGGAGGGUGCAGGAGCAUCCGGAGGCUGCGAGGGCCGGUUCCCCGUCUCCCCUCCCCCCCCGCCGGGGCCUCCCUUCAGACACCCCGCACAAUCGUCUGGAUCCCCUCUGCACCUCCCUAAGUCAGUUUCCGAAAAGGAAAACAGCUUCCCAGUGAUGGCUGCAGCCCAGGUCCCAGAAUGAGGCGUGGGAUGAGCUGUCCCACAGAACAGUGGCCGGAAGCAGAGCUGCCCCAGCUGACUCGCCUGUGCAUGGAAGAGACCUUCUGCUUUGAUGAGGCAUGGGUGACAACUGAAUCCUCUGUUUGCGUCUCUCCCGUCUGGUAACUGGAAGACUUCUCCACCCACUCCUGGCUUCAGGUACCUCUAGAGCCUUCCCUAGGCAGCCACUGUUUCCCCAAGACAGAACCCCUCCAUGCCGGGAUCCAGCCCCCAGCAGCAGCAGCAGCGAAGGCUCGGAACACCUACCCAUUCAUAACUUUUGUUACCAUUACACUAUUUGGAGUCAAAUGUUGUUUCUUUUUAAGUGUCGUCAUUAUCCUGUCCU